CUUCCGUCUAGUAGUUAAAUGUGCAAAUUUGGUGUUCUCUAUCACGUCCGCUAUGGAGUGAAACAUUGCAAAUUAUGUUACGCCAAUCCCGAACACUUACACACAAGCAAGACUAAAGGUUGUACAUAUAUUAAGAACGUUUAAGAUCAAUAAACCUAUUUUCCAAAGCCUUAAAUUUGUCAGUCUGAUUAUUGUACACACAGUUUCAAAAAUGGUCACAUUUGGGAUGAGAUAUGAGGGUACUCGGAAAAAGGGGGAAUUGUCCGAUGACCUGUUUUUCAAACUACCUUUAUUCAAUCCAUUUCAACUGCACAUCUGCGUACAAGUGAUUUCAUAUUCGGGUUUUAUUAAGUAGAACAACAACAGUGCAUGCUUAUCCGAUUUAGAAAUGUAGUAGUUGCUUUCAAAGCCGGACAUAUAAUUUAUUAUUACAAAUUUAAUUCAAUGUUACUGUUUCAGUCAAGUUUAAAAAGG
rnacentral:lncRNA from 1 species